rnacentral:ncRNA from 1 species
GUAAAGUUUGAUUCUAGCUUGUUAAAUUUACCUUUUUUUAAUUGUACAUGUAAAUUUUUGUGUGAUAAUUUUUUCUAAAUGGUUUGAUUGAAAAUAAUCGCAGUUCUUUGUAUUAUAUAUUAUAUAACUAUAGAUUUAAUUAAUUAGGAGAGUUCUGACUAAUAUUGUGCCAGCAGUCGCGGUUAUACGAUAGGGGCAAGUAAAUUUUUUUUGAUUUGUAUUUAUUUUAGUUUAUUAUUAUUUUAAUUGGAAAUAUUUAGGGUGAAAUCGGUAUUUUCUAUUGGAUAAUUUAAUAUGAUUAAAUAUGAUAGUUCAAUGUAAGACUGGGAUUAGAUACCCCAUUAUUAUGAAUAGUAAAUUUUUAAUCUUAGUAUUAAUAGUUAUGAUCUUUAAAUUAAAAGAAUUUGGCGGUAAUUUAGUCUGUUCAGAGGAAUCUGCCCUAUAAUUGAUGAUCCACGAUGAAUUUUACUUUAUUUAGGCUUGUAUAUCUCUGUCAUUGAAUGUCUUAUAAGAGUAUUUUCUUUAAUUAUUAUUGUAGAUAAUGUCAGGUCAAGGUGCAGCAAUAAUAAAGAAGAGGUGGAUUACAUUAAAUGUAUUUAUGGAAAAGUUUAUGAAAAUAUCUUAUGAAAUUGGAUUUGAAAGUAAAUUUUAUUAGAAUAUAGAAUUGAUUUAGCUCUAAAUUAUGUACAUAUCGCCCGUCACUCUCGUUAAUUUAAGAUGAGAUAAGUCGUAACAAAGUAGGUUUACUGGAAAGUGGGCCUGGUUUUAA